CCUACGAGAGGCAGCAGUGAGGAAUAUUGGUCAAUGGGCGAGAGCCUGAACCAGCCAAGUCGCGUGAAGGAUGACGGCCCUACGGGUUGUAAACUUCUUUUGUCAGGGAGCAAUUGAGUCCACGUGUGGUCUUAGCGAGAGUACCUGAAGAAAAAGAAUCGCCUAACUCCGUGCCAGCAGCCGAGGUAAAACGGAGGAUGCGAGCGUUAUCCGGUUUUUUUGGGUUUAAAGGGUGCUGUGGCGGAAUAGCAAUUCAGCGGUAAAAAUUCGGGGCUCAACCCCGUCGUGCCGUUGAAACUGAUGUUCUUGAGUGGGCGAGAAGUAUGCGGAAUGCGUGGUGUAGCGGUGAAAUGCAUAGAUAUCACGCAGAACUCCGAUUGCGAAGGCAGCAUACCGGCGCCCAACUGACGCUGAAGCACGAAAGCGUGGGUAUCGAACAGGAUUAGAUACCCCAGUAGUC
rnacentral:rRNA from 1 species